rnacentral:rRNA from 1 species
UACGUAGGGUGCGAGCGUUGUCCGGAAUUAUUGGGCGUAAAGAGCUCGUAGGCGGCUUGUCACGUCGGGUGUGAAAGACCGGGGCUUAACUCCGGUUCUGCAUUCGAUACGGGCUAGCUAGAGUGUGGUAGGGGAGAUCGGAAUUCCUGGUGUAGCGGUGAAAUGCGCAGAUAUCAGGAGGAACACCGGUGGCGAAGGCGGAUCUCUGGGCCAUUACUGACGCUGAGGAGCGAAAGCGUGGGGAGCGAACAGG